rfam:Camelus ferus unplaced genomic scaffold scaffold1713, whole genome shotgun sequence.
GAGGGUACAGCUCAGUGGUAGAGCGUGUGCUUCGCAUGCGUCAAGGUCCAGGGUUCAAUCCCCAGUACCUCUA